rnacentral:rRNA from 1 species
GGCUCUUUGAUAUAAAUGUGAUAAAGAGUCGGACCUGCCCAGUGAAAAGUUUUAACGGCCGCGGUACUCUGACCGUGCAAAGGUAGCAUAAUCAUUUGCCUUAUAAUUGAAGGCUUGUAUGAAUGGUUUGACAAGAAUAUAACUGUCUCUAUAUAAUUUUAUAGAAUUUUAUAUUGAAGUGAAGAAGCUUGAAUGGUAUUAAUAGACAAGAAGACCCUAUCGAGCUUGAAAAAAAAUAAUAGGAGAAAUAAAAAUUAUAUUAGAAAAUUAUCUAUUAUAAAUUUUGGUUGGGGCGACUUAGGAACAUAUAAAGCUUCCUAAAUAUUUAAAGAAAACAAGUGAUCCAGAAUGUUCUGAUUAAAGAAAUUAGUUACCGUAGGGAUAACAGCAUUAUCUUCUUUGAGAGUUCAUAUCGAAAAGGGGGUUUGUGACCUCGAUGUUGGACCAGAAUAUCCUAAAGAUGUAGCAGUCUUUAAGGGUUGGUCUGUUCGACCAUUAAAAUUCUACG